CCGACAAUGAGGUUUCUACAGUAACCAGACUCCACCCAAAUUUCUAUGACGAUCGACCGCCUCCUGAAUCCUAAUUGAGCUCCCGCGAGAGCUAAACUUCUACUACAAACGGUCUACUCCAAACUCCUACAGCGGGCUGUCUACCCCAGACACCUACCGUAAGCAAAUUUCUUCCGAACUCCUGUUACAGGUAGACUCCAACCGAGCUACUCCGUAGCGAGUGGGCUCCGGACGAACUUCUACAGUGGGAC
rnacentral:lncRNA from 1 species